AGUGAACGCUGGCGGUAGGCCUAACACAUGCAAGUCGAACGGCAGCACAGUAAGAGCUUGCUCUUACGGGUGGCGAGUGGCGGACGGGUGGGGAAUACAUCGGAAUCUACUUUUUCGUGGGGGAUAACGUAGGGAAACUUACGCUAAUACCGCAUACGACCUACGGGUGAAAGCAGGGGAUCUUCGGACCUUGCGCGAUUGAGUGAGCCGAUGUCGGAUUAGCUAGUUGGCGGGGUAAAGGCCCACCAAGGCGACGAUCCGUAGCUGGUCUGAGAGGAUGAUCAGCCACACUGGAACUGAGACACGGUCCAGACUCCUACGGGAGGCAGCAGUGGGGAAUAUUGGACAAUGGGCGCAAGCCUGAUCCAGCCAUACCGCGUGGGUGAAGAAGGCCUUCGGGUUGUAAAGCCCUUUUGUUGGGAAAGAAAAGCAGCAGGUUAAUACCCCGCUGUUCUGACGGUACCCAAAGAAUAAGCACCGGCUAACUUCGUG
rnacentral:rRNA from 1 species